UACGUAGGGUGCAAGCGUUGUCCGGAAUUAUUGGGCGUAAAGAGUUCGUAGGCGGUCUGUCGCGUCUGGUGUGAAAACUCAGGGCUUAACCCUGAGCUUGCAUCGGGUACGGGCAGACUAGAGUGCGGUAGGGGAGACUGGAAUUCCUGGUGUAGCGGUGAAAUGCGCAGAUAUCAGGAGGAACACCGGUGGCGAAGGCGGGUCUCUGGGCAGUAACUGACGCUGAGGAGCGAAAGCGUGGGGAGCGAACAGG
rnacentral:rRNA from 1 species